AGAGAAAGUCUCGAUAUAGGUUCAUCGUUUUGCCCGAAUUAGGGCAAGGGGAUUUCAUCAAAUGAAAUCCUAGUUUCCAAAUCAUUUUUCUCUAAAAGUUUUCUCGUCUCCACUCUUCUCUCCUUGGUUCCUAGAAAAUAAUAAGAUUCACUUACGGUGGUGUCUAUUGUUCAUUGUAGAAUCGUUCUAGAGAAGAUGACGAGGAAAUCGUGAAGAGUACAAGAAUCGAUAAAGAUUCACCAUUCAUUAUGUUCAUGAUUAACCAAGAUGUUGGGUCAAGAGUAGUGUGGAUGUACUGUUUAUGCUCCUAAACUGUUUGAUGAAAUGCCUCACAAAGCCCUGGAGUUACAACUCAAGAAUAGACAGUUGGCAAGGAUUUCAAUGAUGAAGAAGAAACGUUCAUUCUUUGGAUGCUUCAGACUUUGUACACAGUGAAAUCUAAGGUUUUCUUUCUUAUAUAAUCAUUUAUUUACUAUCUUGAGAAAUUACACAAAGCUGUGCUACAAAGACCAAAAAGACCAACCUUUUAUUACAGUGAGGAUCCCUGCUAACUUGUUUUUUCAUUGCAUUUUUUGAUGUUUACUUCUGAUUUUGCUAGAUGCAUUACCAAAACAUGAAGAAAUAUUUUAGUCAGAGUAUAGUUACCUAGCCCUAUAUGUGCAUUUUCGUGUCUCUUGAAUAAUUUAUGACAACAAUGGAGCACUGCACUCGUUAAUUUUUUAGGUUAGCAUUUUUGUGUCCCGUGAUGAUGGUAUUUAUCAGGUUAGCAUUAUAUCUGUAUAAUUUGAUUGGAAUACGUGGUGUUUAUCAUUUGAAAUGUGGGCGACUUGUCUGCGAUUGCUUUCAAUAGAUUAUUUUCUAAACACGAUCAAAUAUUUUCCUUAUCAUCUUGAAGUAGAGUUAAGUUUAAUGAUGAGUGAUACAAAUUCUAAUUUAUGAAAAUUUACCUUUGUUUCUAGCUUAUGCAUGUAGGUUUCUUUUUCUUUAUGUUUCUCUAAAAGAAGGAUCCUGAUGAAUGUAAUAUCAAUAACAUAUUACUAACAAUCUAUAAAGUCUAGUACAACUACCUUUAUUUGCUUUGAAAAAACUGAGAUUUGUGAGAGGUUUAACUAAUUGGCAUUAUUUGUUUUAUUGGGGUUAUAUUAGUUGAAGGGAGUGACUGAGGUGGCUGUCAACCAAUUUGAGAUUAGUUUAUUUUUCAUUCUAAUGUCCCUAAGUUUAUGUCUUCAAUUGAAAUUGAUUAUGUUACUAUACCCAUCUUUUUAAUGUACACAUUCCCCCUCUCAUCUAAGGCCCCCUCUUCAUUUCAUUUCCAUUUAAAAUUUAAUUAUUAGAUUCAUGAAUUCGAUUCUAAGUUCAUUAAAUAUGAAAAGUUUGAUUAAAUUUGAUGUUCAAGUUUAAUUCAUUUUACCUAAAACUAGUAGUGCUCUCUUCUCUUAUGAGUCAAACAAUCCUUAUUAAAUUUGAUCAAGGAUUUCUAGUUGAAAUGAAGAAGGUAUACAAGGAGGUGAAGGUAAUUAUUGAUGGAAAACAGUUGCUAUAUGGAAUUACCUAAGGUUUGUAGGCUUUUUUAUAUUUUUCUUCGCUAUUUUUUUUUUU